UGUAGGUGUUAGCCUGUUCACCACUUUCUUUCUUCCAUGGACCUGCAAUACCGCAAGUAGAGAUCUUCAUCAAAAAAGAAAUCUGCCUCAUUUCCUCAUGCCAAAUUUCCUGAGGAGAUCCAAGGCCUAUGUAUCUUUGCUAAAAAUCUCCAUGAAAACUGGGAGAGGCAUCCUUGUUACCGGAUCCUAGCAAAGAAAAGCACUUGUGUUUCCCUUUUAAAGCUACCAAGGAGAAGACGAAGAAGGUCAUGAAAGGACUCCUUGUUUUGUUAGAGGAUGA
ensembl:lncRNA